UACGUAGGUGGCGAGCGUUGUCCGGAUUUACUGGGCGUAAAGAGCGCGCAGGCGGCUGGUCAAGUCCGAUGUGAAAGCUCCCGGCUUAACUGGGAAAUUGCAUCGGAAACUGAUCGGCUGGAAGGUGGGAGAGGGUAGCGGAAUUCCCGGUGUAGUGGUGAAAUGCGUAGAGAUCGGGAGGAACAUCAGUGGCGAAGGCGGCCAUCUGGGACAACACUGACGCUGAAGCACGAAAGCGUGGGGAGCAAACAGG
rnacentral:rRNA from 1 species